rnacentral:lncRNA from 1 species
AGAAGAGGAAAACAAGUCUUCAACCAUCAGUUAUGUCUAUGUCUCAUCCAGAAAGUAUAGCCAGAGACAUUUUGGCAAAUUUGAAAAAUCUACCUAGGCAGAAAUUUUACUCCUGAAAAAGGAGGACAUGUGGCAACCCUACAUACGCAAGCAAAGGUUCCUACUGUUGAUAUCCUGUUCCUCCCCUCCUUACAAUAAUAGAAUUGUGGAAUUGGAAGGGACCACGAGGGUUAUCUAGUCUAAACCCCAGCAAUGCAGCAAUCUUUUUGCCCAACGUGGGGCUUGAACUUACAACUCUGAUUAAGUGUCACGUCUACCAAUUGAGUUAUCCUUGCUGCUGCCACCUAUUCACAUAUCCUAUCCAAGCAGUGUGUGAAAAUAGCAACAUGAACAAGGAGAUUGCAGGUGGGUUUUUGUGUGUGUUUUUUUAAUAUAUCCUUAAGCAAAAGAUGCAUUUAUUUUAAAGCUUCUAUACCCUACCUUCCCCCCACACCCACCCCAAAAUGAAAUAAUGGCUGUUUAUUGUUAAGCAAACUUCAUAUAAGAAUAUAGAUACAUCUCCAUCUGCCCAACAUAAAAUAGCCACUACAGUAGAACAGCUUUAAUAUACCAUGGUGACAACUCAGUGACGUACCCUCCAAAAUUCCUCGGAUGAGGGUCAGGACAUUCUAUUCUGCAUCAGUAUCCCAAAUAUUAUCUAGAUUCUGACAUUCAUUAAUUUAUUGGGUUUAGGGGAGUCUAACCCCAGUACAUUCAUAACAAUUCUUUGGAUGAUGAUGCUACCUUGGCAUCCUUAAGUAAUCUGAAAUUCAAGGACUGCCAACUUGGUCUAACAGCUAAUUGUGGGGGGUAACAAAAACAGGAAACGCUAUGCAUCACAAUGUGUUUGAAUGUUUCUUUAUAUUUUAGAUUUCCUUAUUUCAAAUCUGCAUCACUGAGCAUUUAUUGUUUUUUUAUUUUUAAAAAAUGGUUAUCUGCAUUCCUGUUCUAUAUUCAUAUAUUUCCUUUCCCUCCCUUUGCCUGAAAUAAGACAUCUUCCCUUUCUCACACAUCCUUAGGUUAGGCUGGUUCCGCUAUUAAAUUGUUUACUGUUAGAGACAAUAUAUAAAAAUAAAAAAGGAACUUUCGGCACAAGCAAUAUGGAUGUUUUGCAGGUUAAGAAUGAGAUAUGUUAUUAUCAGUGCUAUUUUUCUAUAAGAAAAAAAAAAAGAGGUUCUGGAACUCUCCAUUAACUUGUUCUCUUAGAUUGGCAAUGGAACCUGAGAAGUGCCAGAACUGAGUCCUGGUGAGUUCUGGCUGAAAAAAAUAAUAAUCCCUGGUUAUUAUUAUUAUUUAACUUGCAGUUUUACUUUCCCAUAACUCCCUGGUGCUUCUAUUCUGCAGAUCACCCAGAAAUACUGUAUAUCUUGAUCUAUCUUCUACCACCAGUGUUCCUUCUUCCGCUGUCAACCAAAACUGCAGAACAGAACUACAUUAAACCUUACACAUUCCUGGUUUUUCUUGUUACUCGUUUUAGACUAAUUGAUUUUGAACUUGGCCUACAUAUAUUGUUUCCUACUCACCAUUCCCUGAAUGGCGGCAGUUUCCAGGGACAACAGUACUUCGAAUUUGGUUUCUUUUUCAGGAGAGCACUGGAGAGUUAUAGUGUUUUGAAAUAUUUGCUGGUUUACAAAAAGAACAGAGGUGAAGGCAAGCAACAUUUCAUUCAUGGCAGCAGAUCCACUACCAACAGAUUAUUUUUUCUUAUCAUUCUGGUUUGUAGUCACAGGCAUUACUAUUCUGCCAGGAUGGGUAACAGUGCAAUCCUGUACAUUUGUACUCAAAAGUAAUAUGGAUUGUUUUCAUUUGGGCUUACUCCCAGGUAAGCCUACAUACAAUUACAGGUUGAAUUGUAUUUUAUUCUCUUGGCCCACACCACACUUCAUUAAUGUUUACUUCUCAAG